GGUAUUUCGCACCUCGCAAAUGUUAUUUAAUAUUUCCUUUUCAUCUCCACCUCCCACGUUCUCAUUCUCUCUAUUUUUCCAUUUCCACUCUGCCUCCCACACUUGCAUCAUUCACUGAAGAAAAACAAAAUAUUCACAGAACCUUUAACCCAACAAGAACCUCACAAGCUGCAUCGUUCCUUCCAAACCUUCCACAAGUUGCAAUCUCGUUUCAAGCCUUCUCACAAGAUACAAUUGUUUGUUCCUUUCUAGGGUUUCAACAUUUGGGUUCAGGUCUUUUCUCUCGGAUGGAUGCGAAAUAAGAUGGCUCGAGUUAGAGUGAUACAAUAAAUUGACAUUGGCCUUGAAGUGUUUUGGCUUGCUCUUUACUUUGUUGCUGUAGUCAAUCUUGCUGCUCUUUACUUUGUUGCUGUAGUCACUCUUGCUGCACUUGUUGGACAGCAUUUGGUGAGGUGAUAAUCAUUAGUUUUGGCCUUUUUUAAUGUUCACUGCUUUGAUUAUUCUUGCUGCACUUGUUUAAUGUUCAACUGAUAUUUUGAUAAUCAUUAGUUUUGUUUUUUCUAUCAUUAGGGGCUGUUUGUGUUAAUUAAGGAUGAUAGAUGUUGGGGUCUACUACACUUUUAAUUGAAACCAAACAUGUUAUUUUAAUUAGACAUAGAUUUAAAUUAUUGUUAAAAAUUAAAUAGUCUUUAAAUUUAGACCACUCUCUCUAAUAACUAAAUGAAUGUUAACAAUGGUGGAAAUAAACUCUAUGCAAAUGUUGUAACUACUGGGUGCGAUAUUUCCAUUUUUUUUCAAACAGAAGUUACAUCAGUAUAUAAAGCUAGUUGGUUAAGAAACCUAACUAACUAACCAAUUGUUAGUUAGUUAGUUUAAACCACUAAAAAAUCACUAACAACCUAGGAUUAUUAUGUUUCAUGGAUUAAUAACUAAAUAUCAUGGCUAGGUGUAGAGGUGUCAAGUAGAAAACUCUAUAUAUCCAUAAUAUCUUAAGACAACCUACUAUUGCCAGACUCUCUGCAGAGGCAGAAUAUGAAAACCAUGUCAGCUUUGACAUCUGAACUAUUAUAGAUGAAGCAAUUGUUGAGAAGUGCGAUAGACAUAGAUUUAAAUUUUUGUUAAAAAUUAAAUAGUCUUUAAAUUUAUACCAUGUUAAAAAUUAUUGUUGCAGGGGCAACUCUGUAAUGUCUAAUUUCCGGUUCAGUUUAAUAUUUCAGUUUAAUAGCUAACUAAAUUUUUGAAUAUAUGAUGAUAUCCUUGUUGUUGAUGUUUGAAUAAAAUUGUGUGAUGACUUGUUGGUUUAUGUGUAUCUCUUCAUAGAACCCCAUGCUAUUUAUUAAGUUUUGAUGCUGCCUCUAUUUUUCUCAUGUGAUCCAAUAAGUGCAUAUUUAAGGUUCUUGAAGUUUAGUUUGAUGGCUUCAUAUUAAAGGUUAUAUUUAGAUUUCUUUUCUAUGGAAUGACAUUUAAUUUUCUUUUCUAUAUUUUGUAUGUAACAUUGAGAAAAAAACAAAUGGAGUUGGAGGAAGCAUUGAGACUUUCACAAGAACAAAUGAUGCUUACUCAACAACAAAUUCAACAACAAGUGCAACAACAAAUACAACAACAAAUGCAACAACAAAUGCAACAAAUGCAACAAUUCUUUCGACAACAAUAUGGUGGUGGUGGAUUUGGAGCGGUUGGUAACCAAGGAGUAGUAGACGAGAAUGAAGAAAACGAAAAUAAUGCGGACGACCCGGAUCCUAAGUGAAUAUUAUUUUGAAUUUAAAUAUUUUGGAUAAUCAUGAAUUUCUUUAUAUUAAAUAUACAUUUCUUUAUAUUAA